UGCCAGCCGCCGCGGUAAGACGGAGGGUCCUAGCGUUGUUCGGAAUGACUGGGCGUAAAGGGUACGUAGGCGGUUUGGUCAGUUAGAUGUGAAAGCCCAGGGCUCAACCUUGGAACUGCAUUUAAUACUGCCAGACUUGAGAUCGGAAGAGGAAAGCGGAAUUUCUAGUGUAGAGGUGAAAUUCGUAGAUAUUAGAAGGAACAUCAGAGGCGAAGGCGGCUUUCUGGUCCGAUACUGACGCUGAGGUACGAAAGCGUGGGGAGCAAACAGGAUUAGAUA
rnacentral:rRNA from 1 species